AGAGUUUGAUCCUGGCUCAGAUUGAACGCUGGCGGUAUGCUUAACACAUGCAAGUCGAACGGUAACAGGCGAAGCUUGCUUUGCGCUGACGAGUGGCGGACGGGUGCGUAACGCGUGGGAAUUUACCUUGUAGUGGGGGAUAGCCCGGAGAAAUCCGGAUUAAUACCGCAUAAUCUCUACGGAGCAAAGUGGGGGAUCUUCGGACCUCACGCUAUUAGAUGAGCCCGCGUUAGAUUAGCUUGUUGGUGGGGUAAUGGCUCACCAAGGCAACGAUCUAUAGCUGGUUUGAGAGGAUGAUCAGCCACACUGGGACUGAGACACGGCCCAGACUCCUACGGGAGGCAGCAGUGGGGAAUAUUGGACAAUGGGCGCAAGCCUGAUCCAGCAAUACCGCGUGUGUGAAGAAGGCCUGAGGGUUGUAAAGCACUUUCAAUAGAGACGAAAAGCUUAGGGUUAAUAGCCCUGAGUCUUGACUUAACCUAUAGAAGAAGCACCGCUAACU
rnacentral:rRNA from 1 species